rnacentral:rRNA from 1 species
UACAGAGGGGGCAAGCGUUGUUCGGAAUUACUGGGCGUAAAGGGCGCGUAGGCGGCCUUCUAAGUCGAACGUGAAAUCCCCGGGCUCAACCCGGGAACUGCGUCCGAUACUGGAAGGCUUGAAUCCGGGAGAGGGAUGUGGAAUUCCAGGUGUAGCGGUGAAAUGCGUAGAUAUCUGGAGGAACACCGGUGGCGAAGGCGACAUCCUGGACCGGUAUUGACGCU